CCUACGGGUGGCAGCAGUGAGGAAUAUUGGGCAAUGCCCGCAAGGGUGACCCAGCAACGCCGCGUGGAGGAUGAAGGCCGUCAGGUUGUAAACUCCUGUUAGAGGAGAAGAAUAGUACCGAUUGGAUCGGUAUUUGACUGUACCCUCCGCGAAAGCCCCGGCUACCUACGUGCCAGCAGCCGCGGUCAUACGUAGGGGGCAGGCGUUAUCCGGAUUUACUGGGUGGAAGGGGCGAGCGGAAGUGAGAGGUGAAAUCCUACAGCUGAACUGUAGAACUGCCUUUGAUACUGUUAUUCUUGAGUUCGGGAGAGAGAGACGGAAUUCCAGGUGUAGUGGUGAAAUACGUAGAUAUCUGGAAGAACACCAGUUGCGAAGGCGGUCUCUUGGUCCGAUACUGACGCUGAGGCGCGAAAGCGUGGGGAGCAAACAGGAUUAGAUACCCGUGUAGUC
rnacentral:rRNA from 1 species